GACGAACGCUGGCGGCGUGCCUAAUACAUGCAAGUAGAACGCAGUUGCGAACGGGUGAGUAACGCGUAGGUAAAUGCCCGGUAGCGGGGGAUAACUAUUGGAAACGAUAGCUAAUACCGCAUACUACCAGAUGGACCUGCGUUGUAUUUGCUAGUUGGUGGGGUAACGGCUCACCAAGGCAACGAUACAUAGCCGAACUGGGAGGGGGGUCGGCCACACUUGUACUGGGGCACGGCCCAGACUCCUACGGGAGGCAGCAGUAGGGAAUCCUCGGCAAAGGGGGGAAACCUGACCGGGCAACGCCGCGGGAGUGAAGAAGGUUUUCGGGUCGUAAAGCUCUGUUGUUAAGGAAGCGGUACUUAACCAGAAAGGGACGGCUAACUACGUGCCAGCCGCCGCGGUAAUAC
rnacentral:rRNA from 1 species